rnacentral:misc_RNA from 1 species
AAAUUUCUCAGUUAAGAUGGAUAUACAAAGAUUCCAAAAUCUACAGACCUGAACCACCAUUGCAUUAUGUUCAUUAAAACCCCCGAACCGUUGAACAUAAUCUCCCAUUCCAUCACUCUGAGUCACUCUCCAUGCUCAUAGCCUUCAAUCCCCUCCGCCUCUUUUUCGAGCUCUUCUUCUCCCUAACCUCGUACCUCUCCUGCGAUAGA